UUUGUCAAGUGUCUUGUUUUGUAGGCAGUGGAGGUGAGUUGCUUGCUGCUGCUUGCUGGGCAGAGCGGAAGAGGAGUGGGAGAUGUGGCGUGAAGGUUGUUGGCUGUGCAUUGGAGUAGCUGAGCUGGUCGGUUGUGGGGAUUUCCGUGGACUGGAGGCGGAGGUGAGUUCCUGCAUGCUGGGUGUUGGGGCACCGAGGAAGAGGCGUCGCAGAUGUGGCUCGCAGGUUGGCCAGUGGAUGUCGUAGGGGCUGAGAAGGAGAUGGUGUCUGGUGGUGUGGAAGCAAGGCUGUGCCAGUUCGGUGAGGAGGCGAUGGGUGCCAUGUGCGCUUGGAGCGGUCCUGUGAGAUUGUUGAAUAGGUGGCUGCUGGAAGAGGAGCAGAUGUCUUGCUGCGACACUUUGGUGGCGGCUGGAAGAGGAGCAGAUGUCUUGCUGCGACGUGUUGGCGUGCAAUAAAAUUUUUGGAGACUACUUGCGUGUGUGGUGGAGGGGACCUGCAUGUGGGUGUUUUUGUGUCGGUGCGGUGUUUGUCUUUUGCUGUGUUGUGUGUAGAUGCUGUGCGUUGGGUUUGCGUGUGUGCUGGUGGCUGGUCUGCGGUUGGUUAUAGUGGCGGUGGUAUUUUGUUGGCCGGUUAUUCUGUAGCUUUUGUUGUCGCUUGCGAGGUUGCUUUGGUGGCUUUGGCUUGUUGCAGUUUCUGUUUUGCUGUUGGCUUCUGCUUAGUUGUGGCAAAGUUUGGGUUUUGUGGUUGUGCAGGUGGUGUGCAGUGAAGGUGGGCUAUGGAGGCUGAUGUAGCAGGUGUUUUGUAGAAAAGUGGCUGGCAAUAGAGUGGUUUUCGGGGCAAGUCUUUUUUGCGCGGUUGUGUUUGGGCUGUGGUGUGCUUUGGCUGUGGGUGGUGGUGUUCUGAGAUUUUGAGUGUGUUGGUGCCUGUUUGUUAGUGUCUUGCACGUUGUUAACGUUUCACUUUUGGUGUGGGGCUCUUUGUGCUUCCUUUAACCGUGAGAGACGUUUAUUUAAGUGCAUGUGUAAUAACAUUUUGUCUGUCAUUGUGCUGUAAGAAGCGUUUGCCACCUGCCGGCGGCAAACAAGAUCGAUAAUUGUUAUGUAGUGUUGUAUAAUGUCAGCUCUGUUUUUCAUUUUGUGGUGUACAAUGUGUGUGGCAUGUCUUUGUACAUUGUUAUGGCUGUUUUUACUCCCCAAAUUGCAUGUAAUAAAGCAAAGCAGAAACAAAACGGUCAGA